GCUUAGCCCUAAACCUGAAUAAUUUAAUAACAAAAUUAUUUGCCAGAGAACUACUAGCCACCGCUUAAAACUCAAAGGACUUGGCGGUACUUUAUAUCCAUCUAGAGGAGCCUGUUCUAUAAUCGAUAAACCCCGCUAUACCUCACCAUCUCUUGCUAAUUCAGCCUAUAUACCGCCAUCUUCAGCAAACCCUAAAAAGGCAUUAAAGUAAGCACAAGGACAAACAUAAAAACGUUAGGUCAAGGUGUAGCCAAUGAGAUGGGAAGAAAUGGGCUACAUUUUCUUUAUAAAGAACAUUACGAAACCCUUUAUGAAACUAAAGGAUAAAGGAGGAUUUAGUAGUAAAUUAAGAAUAGAGAGCUUAAUUG
rnacentral:rRNA from 1 species